UGCUGCUGCUGUUUGAUGCAUUAUUCACAGUGAAACGCUGUGCCUGUUUUGAAAUCCCCCUAAAAACUGUGCAGAACCUACACACUCUGCACAAGCAGAUGUCUAAGAAAAAAAAAUAGAAAGAAAGAAUGCACCUCCCAUAUUAAGAGAAGGUGGCUCGACGACCAGAAACUAAAUUUUGCAGAUCCGUGUUGUUGAGAGAACACUUAGUGAUUUUAUGGUACACUACGUCCGUAGACGUCUGGAUUUCUUGACGUCAAAAGAAGUCUGAGCGCAUCCAGCGCUGCGCACAAGCUCAGCAACCACAUCUCUCCCAGAGGAAAGCAGGACACCGCACAGCUACAGAUCGCCAUUUAGCUUUAGUGUGGCGAGUCCAAUCAGCCUUGUAGGAUGCCUCUUGGAGAGGAUGGAAACGGAUGGAAGAAGAAGACAUCAGACAUCAAAGAACAUUAUGACUUCAAAGAAGUGCUGGGAACGGGGGCUUUCUCCGAGGUGGUUCUCGCAGAGGAGAAGAGGACUCAGAGGCUGGUCGCCAUCAAGUGCAUCCCUAAGAAAGCCCUGGAAGGAAAAGAGAA